CUGGUUGCAGAUCUUCUGUUGGACAUAUGGGAAGUUCCAGGGGGCAGAGUACUGCGGGCUCUGUACCCUAUUUUGCUGACAGAACCCGCCAUCUAUCUUGUCCUAGUGGCGGCCGACACGCACAACCCAGAGGUCGAGGUCAUAGACAUAUGUAGGAACAUUUUGUAUAAGAUUUAUAAACCAAAUAUCAUAGUGAUACUUACGAAAACAAACUCAACAGCCUGUAAAAACAUUAACAUCGGUAACCUGUGCCGUCGUGUGAAGGAUAAGUGGAACGAGGUCGUCGCUCAGUGUUGCCAUGGGGACACGCCUGA